rnacentral:tRNA from 1 species
GCCGGCUUAGCACAGUGGUAGUGCAUCUGAUUUGUAAUCAGAGGGUCAUCGGUUCAAUCCCGAUAGCCGGCU